CAGGUAUGUCAUCAUGGCACAGCGUCCGUCGAUUGGCUGUGAAGCAGCUGACUCAGACCAAAGUAAAGAGCGCGGGAAAACGUUGUAUACACACUUGCCCAAAAUAUGCCGAUUGAUUUGUUAACGUUUGCUGGCUCACUUUACACAUGAAGGAGAAAAUGGUUCAGGCGGACUACUAACGUUACUACAGCAUAAUAUCAUGUCGCUGGGGACGUCAAGUGUGUGUCCCACUCAGAAAAGAACACUCUCGUGUCUUCUUGCAGGGCGUGUUGGGAAGAGACCAAGGCAGGUGAAUGCAGAGGAGCUGCGGGAGGCAGCAGUCCAGCUGCUAAACAGACACCAGAACCUCUCUGAUCUUUUUCUGGAGGUUGGGAGUCUGGGCCCUUGCAAUUUAAUAUGCCAAGGGAAAUCUGCACAGAAAGAAUUGUCCAUUAGAAGUCCUGGGGCUGUGUUUCUUGUUAGUGAGUUGAGGAAGAAGGCUGCGGAGCUGGAGCUUCCUGUGGCAGCCAUAUCUGUGAAGAUGGUGCUGGAGAGACUGUUGGACCUGACCAGCAAUAUCAAGGGGGACAGAGAGCACGUCCUGCUCAACUCUGCUCAAAGGGUUGGUGCUGGGAAUAGUCUGGAUACGUUUGUUUUAAGCAUGAUUUCCAUCCUCCACCAUGUGGGUUUAUGA
rnacentral:lncRNA from 1 species